rnacentral:rRNA from 1 species
UACGGAGGGUGCAAGCGUUAUCCGGAUUUAUUAGGUUUAAAGGGUCCGCAGGCGGAAUAUUAAGUCAGUGGUGAAAGCCUACAGCUCAACUGUAGAACUGCCAUUGAAACUGUUAUUCUUGAGUAUGGAUGAAGUGGGCGGAAUAUGUCAUGUAGCGGUGAAAUGCAUAGAUAUGACAUGGAACACCAAUUGCGAAGGCAGCUCACUAAACCAUUACUGACGCUCAUGGACGAAAGCGUGGGGAGCGAAC